CUAGCCUGCCCAAUGAAUUAAUUAAAUGGCCGCGGUAUUUUGACUGUGCAAAGGUAGCAUAAUCAUUUGUCUUUUAAUUUGAGACUAGAAUGAAUGGCUGGACGAGAGAUUUUCUUUCUUAAAAAUAUAAUUUUAAUUUAAUUUUUUAGUCAAAAAGCUAAAAUAUUUUUAUGGGACGAGAAGACCCUAUAGAACUUUAUUUUAUUUUUUAUUUACCCAAUUUUUUUAUUUCUUGGGUAAAUAAAAAAUGUAAUUUUGUUGGGGUGACAUAGGAAUUUAUUUAACUUCUUAUUUAUGAUUUAGCAUAAAUGAAUGUUGAGUUGAUCCGGAAUUUUUGAUUAAAAGUUUAAGUUACCUUAGGGAUAACAGCGUAAUUUCUCUGGAGAGUUCUUAUCGAUAGGGGAGUUUGCGACCUCGAUGUUGGAUUAAAAUAAGUAGUAGGAGAAGAAGUUUGCUUACUAG
rnacentral:rRNA from 1 species